UAACUUUCAGCAACGGAUCUCUUGGCUCUCGCAUCGAUGAAGAACGCAGCGAAAUGCGAUAAGUAAUGUGAAUUGCAGAAUUCAGUGAAUCAUCGAAUCUUUGAACGCACCUUGCACCUCUCAGUAUUCUGAAAGGUACACCUGUUUGAGUGUCAUUAA
rnacentral:rRNA from 1 species